rnacentral:rRNA from 1 species
CAGCCGCCACGGUAAUACAGAGGGUGCGAGCGUUAAUCGGAUUUACUGGGCGUAAAGCGUGCGUAGGCGGCUUCUUAAGUCGGAUGUGAAAUCCCUGAGCUUAACUUAGGAAUUGCAUUCGAUACUGGGAAGCUAGAGUAUGGGAGAGGAUGGUAGAAUUCCAGGUGUAGCGGUGAAAUGCGUAGAUAUCCGGAGGAACACCGAUGGCGAAGGCAACUGCCUGGGCCUGAUCUGACACUGAGGCACGAAAGCGUGGGUAGCAAACAGGAUUAGAUACCCCGUAGUCCCUGUCUCUUAUACA